AGCUAAGGGGAUCCACCUGUUCUCAUUCCGAACACAGAAGUUAAGCCCUUAUACACCGACAGUACUGUGCUGGAGACGGCAUGGGAGGAUAGGCAGCUGCCG
rnacentral:rRNA from 1 species